rnacentral:rRNA from 1 species
AUACGAAAGGAGCAAGCGUUGUUCGGAUUUACUGGGCGUAAAGAGAGUGUAGGUGGUUUGUUAAGUCGGAUGUGAAAUCCCGGGGCUCAACCCCGGAACUGCAUUCGAUACUGGCAGACUAGAGUUCGGGAGGGGGAAGCGGAAUUCCGUGUGUAGCAGUGAAAUGCGUAGAUAUACGGAGGAACACCUGAGGCGAAGGCGGCUUACUGGACCAAUACUGACACUGAGACUCGAAAGCGUGGGUAGCAAACAGGAUUAGAAACCCUAGUAGUCC